AUGAUACAGGAUGUGAGAAGUCUCCAAUAUGAAGAGCGAUUUGAGCAGUCUGCCUGGAGAGAAGCACAGAGAGCAGGAAAGAGCUGCAGAGAAUGAGUGAGGGAGAUAGACAGAGGAGAAAACCUGAGGGAAGAAAAUAGGGAGAGGGGAGAGUGGUAUUCGGGCCGAGACGAAAAAGCGCAUGCUUCAUUAAGUGAGGAAGUAAUCCUGGCUAAUUAAGGCUCUCCAUGACAGCACUGUCAAGGAUGACUGAUCCUUCAAAUGGCACCUCCCUCUCCUGACUGACAGCCAGCCUGCUCUCACUGCUUUGAAGUAUGUCUUGGCCGAUCAGAGGCGUCUGGCCGCCAGGACUCCUCUCAGCUCGCUCCCUGAAGACCUCUGGCUCCACAGAAACAGGAAAUGAAUGGGGCCAGAAGUAAACACGACCUUUGGGAUGAGGGGAACA